UUCUGGCGUCAGCAAAGGCCGAAAUCCGCCAUGUUUUUGCGGACACUUUUUGAUGCCGAGCACGUCCUCCAGUAAUAUAGUAUAGCUCAGUGGUGGGGAUAUUUGAAUUGAGCGCCAUCUUGCAUGCUGAGGAAGAGGACUGGGACAAACGACUUUCAAGCCUUUCACCACAAAUAAGUGUGCCCAACAGUGGGGCAUUUGAUCACAUUUGACUGAUAUUAGCUUCCCCAUGGUAGGGAAUUUGACCAAAAAAUUGCAUGAAAAAUCAAAUGCCCCACAUGUGCCCCACCCUGGGGCUUAACAUUGAUAGGUGCAUUAUUAAAGAUGAAGAGGAUGAAAGCAUUUAGACCAAGCGCAAAAGUGAAAGCUUCUUAAAACUUGUUGUAAUUUUUCAUAAAAGCUCAAAAGGAUAGCAAACUAUUGUAUGAUUCAAAAUGUAUUCAAAAUAGGAGUAAUGACGUAAAUUCGGUAAAUAUGUACGUUCAGCACGUACGUUUAAUAAAGAGCUUGUUUGACAACAGUUUACGAAGCGUUUCGUGUUGAAUUUUACAUUAAAAUGGCCGAUAGAAUGCAAAGUAAUAUACCUACCUUUAGAUAUCGAUAGUUCUUUAGUUAAAAGUGUUAAACUACUGUAUUUUUUUUAAUUUUUGCGAUUAAAGACAUUAAAACAUGGUUAUUUAAAUAACCUGACGCGAGCCUGCGUUCAGUUAACGUUUGCUAAUGGGAAAUACUUCAUGUUGAAACAAUGUUUGGAAAACAUGCACUCAUAAAAAGGCAUAUUAACCUAAGUUGUUACAGGUACAAAUCUGUUCAAAAUCUGUCGACAAGUUGUGUUCGCACUGCUUGUUCUGAGUUGUUGUAACAACUAACAAGUUUGCAACAAGCUGUUAACAACUUGAUGGCAGUACCAGACUAAUUGUUACAAGGUUAUUCUAACAAGUUUGAUGCAGUCAUGUUACAAGGUUAACGGUACAAGGUUGUAAAAAUAUUGUUAUAUCAUGACUGUAUCGGACUUGUUGAAACAAUCUUGCAACAAGUCUGAUAAAGUGAUAAUAUCAA
rnacentral:lncRNA from 1 species